rnacentral:tRNA from 1 species
AUUUUGGUUUCUAAUGCCCUUCUAAGGCAUCGGUCGGGGGUUCGAAUCCCUCUCGGAAUG